rnacentral:tRNA from 1 species
GGGGCUAUAGCUCAGUUGGUAGAGUGCUUGCCUAGCAUGCACAAGGCCCUGGGUUCAAUCCCCAGAACCACA